GCCAGACUCCUACGGGAGGCAGCAGUGGGGAAUAUUGGGCAAUGGGCGCAAGCCUGACCCAGCAACGCCGCGUGAAGGAAGAAGGCUUUCGGGUUGUAAACUUCUUUUAAGAGGGAAGAGUAGAAGACGGUACCUCUUGAAUAAGCCACGGCUAACUACGUGCCAGCAGCCGCGGUAAUACGUAGGGGGCAAGCGUUAUCCGGAUUUACUGGGUGUAAAGGGAGCGUAGACGGCAGUGCAAGUCCGGAGUGAAAGCCCGGGGCUCAACCCUGGGACUGCUCUGGAAACUGUAAAGCUGGAGUGCGGGAGGGGCAGGCGGAAUUCCUGGUGUAGCGGUGAAAUGCGUAGAUAUCAGGAGGAACUCCGGCGGCGAAGGCGGCCUGCUGGACCGUAACUGACGUUGAGGCUCGAAAGCGUGGGGAGCAAACAGGAUUAGAUACCCCCGUAA
rnacentral:rRNA from 1 species